GCAACAUAGGAAUUCUAAAAUCUGAACACCUAAACCAUUUUUUAAAAAGGUACCCUUCUGCUUCCUUUUACCUAACUUGAAUAUGCAUUCAGAAAAUAGAAGAUAAAGGAUGACCAAAAGCCUCAAAGUAAAAUGAGCCUUAAAACUCAGAUGAGACGUGAUGGUGGUAAAACAUCAAAAGUGAACGGGACGCCUAGAUUGGGGAAGAUAAACACUACGAUCCAGGAAUUGAAGGGUGUCAAGAAUUUAUCUCCAUGUACUUAUCUGCCUGCAGGAAGACUCAGAACACACUUAUCCUGUCUGUAAUAGAAGGCAUCCUGCUAAUGAGAAUGUUGUGUUACCCGUAGAAAGUGAACAGUGUGAACAAUAAGCAGCUGUAAACUAAGAGUAGAAAUCCUAACACUAGGGAGGAAUUUGUAGUGAGCAGCAGUGUUGAAGGGCAAAUGUAAACCUGAGGGUGACGGUCGGUCUUGGCUUUUAGAAAACAAAAGAGACUCGGAGAUCUAAUUUAUUAUUUUGCCUUUCUUUUGGUGAAGGACAGAAAAGUCCAUGACAGGUGGGCAACAAGUAUCAGGUUUGCUGUUUUAUUCCUUUGGUACAAAAGGGUUGCACAGCAGGCUGACAAAGCAGUCAUGCAUUUAUUAUUAAACAUUUUCUACCGACGAGGCACUGUGCAGGGUACUGUAACCCUACCUAGGUAGGUAGAUGUUUCUUCCACUGUAAAUCAUCGGGGUUUUGGUUUAAAACUGUUUCAUGUGAGUGAGCUGCUUCCCUCCAUCUGAGCAGUCCUGGGGGAGGUCACCUCUGAGAUUCCCGGAGCCGUAGUCCUCCUACCAGGGUGUUGUCACUGGGGGAAAGGAAGACUCAGCUCAGAGAGCUGACCAGCUCUCCAGCAAUCUUCAGAGACUUAGGCAUAUACAUAUUAAGCAAACAUGUGUUAAUAGUUGACACUUGUGGUUGCUGUUUGCGGGCACUGUUGGAAGCGCUUUACCGCGGAUUAACUCUUAGUCCUCACAGCAACCAUUUGAGGUAGGUACAUACCCCAGUUUUACAUGUACUGCACUGAAACUUGCCUCCCUCCCACUGGAUGUAGACAUGGUUUUUUAUGGCUACAUACUGUUCCAUUGCAUGAAUAUACUGUAAUUUAUUUAACCAACCCCUUCUUGAUGGAAAAUAAGUUCUUUCCAAUUUUUUAAUUAUAGUUAUUAACAUUCUUACCCAUAUAUUUUACUGCCUGUGUGGAUAUUUCUGUAGAAUAAAUAGUAGAAGUAGAUUUGUUGGGUCAGAGAAUGUGCACAUUUUAACAUUUUGAGAGGUAUCACCAAAAAGAUGAUACCAAUUUACAACUCCAUCAACAGAGUGCCUGUUUGCCUACACUCCCACUGACUCCGAAUCCUUAAAUAUUUUUACCAUUCUGGUGGGCAAAAUUUGUCUUUCUUUUUGUUAAUAAGGAGGAACAUGUUUGUAUGUUUAUUGGCCAUUUGCAUUUCUUAUGAACUGCCUUUGCCCAUUUUUUUUUAUUAAUAAAUGACUACCAUCUCAUUUUACAAAACUUACACAACUAUAAGAGCAAAGAGACCCUUUUUUCCUAGUACUUCCAACCUCAUUCCACUGUCUUGUUUCAUAAACAUCCAUUUAGUUCCCUUUCCAUACAUUUCCAUAUGAAUAUACAUACACAUAUAAAUGCUAUUUUUACAUAAAUAAGGUCAUGUAUAUGUAUUGUUCUGUAACAUUUAAAAAUUUUUUGGUCUCAAAAACAGAUCCUGAGGUCUUUAAAUUUCUUUAACGGUUGAUUUGAAUAGGAUCUAGUACUAUGAAAAUCCCGUUAUUUAACUCUUCCCUAAUUUUUUCUCUUGCUGUUAUCCUGCCAAAGUAAACAUCUUCAUACAUUUUUGUGCAUGUGUGUGAAUUUCUUCUGGAUGGAGUUGUAUGAGGUGGAUGAUUGGGUCAAAAGAUGUGCUUUCUGAUAGACCCAUCUUAGCUUUCCCAAAGGUCUUCAUAACUUUUUAUUUUUCACUAAAUGUAUGGAAAGUGCUCAUUUCCCCACAUAGCCUUACCUACACUUAAUUUUUAUCUGAUGGGCAAAAAAAAAAUGAUUUUGUAUUUCCCUGAUUAAUAGUGAAGUUGAGGUUAUUUUCAUGUUUAUUGGCCAUUCUAUUGUGGAUUGUUUGUUCAUCUCCUUUACCUAUAAAAGCUUUUCCAUUGGGUUAUGUGUGGAUAUAUGUUGUUGGGUCUUUUGUUGUUGUUCAGCAUCUCUUUCCCCAUCCUCUGGUAACAGAAUCCUUAUUUAUUGUGGGGAACCCAUUCCCUGUGGCUCAGAUGAGUGCAUGACCAGGUCUGGCCUUCCUGAGUCCUGCAGCUUCUUAGCCACAGUGAUUAAAGAAUGGGCAUCUAACUCAAGCCAGGCUAAAGCAAGCUCUCAACAGAACUUCUGCUGGAACUAUUGGAAAGAAAGCUCUACAGAGAUCCCACGAACUAAGGACUGUAAGCCUCGAUUUACACCAUGUGGAGAGAGUCUGAGGAGAAAUUCAGAGGCUAGCAGAAAGGAAUGAGAACUAAGUUCCGAUGUCCUUUUCCUGGAGGCCCUAGAUCCAGCUGUGCCUAAAGCCUGCCCUACCUCUGAACUUUGUGAGCCAAUAAAGUCCCUUUCUUGUUUAAAAUAACUGAAUUGGGUUUCUGUCCUGAUUAAUAUAGGUUAUUUGUAUUUUCUUAUUGAUUUGUAGAAAAGCUUUGUAAUUCUAAAUUCUGGGCUUAACACUAUGCAUUAUAUAGGUUAAUAAAAUUAGCAUGGCCUUCCAUGACUUGGCCUCUGUCAA